rnacentral:lncRNA from 1 species
UUUGAAUGGAGAAUGGGCUUUUAGUUGAAUACAAUAACUGCAUGUUAAAUUCAUUCACUUUAUAAUUAUUUGCUGUUUACAAAGACAUAUGUUCCAGCACCAUACAAAACCUAUAUCAAAUGCAGAAUGCUUCCAUUUUCAAAUACAUGAAGAGGAAACACAUGGUUUUUUUCCUUGUUAUGAUGAAGACUCGAACUGUGAAUUUAAUUGAUUACGAUUUAAAGUCUAUAUUUGCAUGAUC